AUAUUUCUGCCACCGGGUAGAAAAAUGCAAAGGCAUUCCCUGUACAUCGUCAGGUCUUAGAAGAUGUACAGCGAGUGCCUUUUUUGAG
rnacentral:ncRNA from 1 species